rnacentral:rRNA from 1 species
AUGAACGCUGGCGGCGUGCCUAAUACAUGCAAGUCGAGCGAACAGACGAGGAGCUUGCUCCUCUGACGUUAGCGGCGGACGGGUGAGUAACACGUGGAUAACCUACCUAUAAGACUGGGAUAACUUCGGGAAACCGGAGCUAAUACCGGAUAAUAUAUUGAACCGCAUGGUUCAAUAGUGAAAGACGGUUUUGCUGUCACUUAUAGAUGGAUCCGCGCCGCAUUAGCUAGUUGGUAAGGUAACGGCUUACCAAGGCAACGAUGCGUAGCCGACCUGAGAGGGUGAUCGGCCACACUGGAACUGAGACACGGUCCAGACUCCUACGGGAGGCAGCAGUAGGGAAUCUUCCGCAAUGGGCGAAAGCUUGACGGAGCAACGCCGCGUGAGUGAUGAAGGUCUUCGGAUCGUAAAACUCUGUUAUUAGGGAAGAACAAAUGUGUAAGUAACUAUGCACGUCUUGACGGUACCUAAUCAGAAAGCCACGGCUAACCACGUG